CCCCUAGUAACUGCGAGUGAAGCGGGAAAAGCUCAAAUUUAAAAUCCUUCGGGAAUUGUAAUCUAGAGAAGUGUUUUCGGUCGUCGCCUCGGACAAGUCCUUUGGAACAAGGCGUCAUAGAGGGUGAGAAUCCCGUCCUUGCCGAGCUACCAAUGUCUAUGUGAUGCACUCUCGAAGAGUCGAGUUGUUUGGGAAUGCAGCUCAAAAUGGGUGGUAAACUCCAUCUAAAGCUAAAUAUUGGCGAGAGACCGAUAGCGAACAAGUACCGUGAGGGAAAGAUGAAAAGCACUUUGGACAGAGAGUUAAACAGUACGUGAAAUUGUUGAAAGGGAAACGCUUGAAGUCAGUCGCGUUGCAGGGACUCAGCCGCAAGGUGCAUUUCUCGGUAACGGGUCAACAUCAGUUUCGAGCGCGGGAAAAGGGCUUGAGGAAUGUGGCAACCUCGGUUGUGUUAUAGCCUCCUGUCGUACACCGCGCCCGGGACUGAGGACCGMUAAUAGGAUG
rnacentral:rRNA from 1 species